AGUAAUUAACAAAUAUUAUAAUAUAAGAUAGUUAAAAGCAUAAAAACAUUAGAUUAUUAUCAUCUUUAUUAGCCGAAACCAAGAAGGAAGAAAGCCAUUAAAGCUUAGUCAAGUUUCGGCCAUAUUCAAGCUUAAAUUCAAGAUCGAGAAACGAAGAAAACGGAUUUGGAUUGGGGAAAAACGAAAGUAGUUGAAUAGUCGAUCGUGUCCGUUGAUAUCCGAGUUAAAAACCAAGCUGCAGACUCGGGGAUCGUUACGAAGAUCAUCACUCUAUCUACUAUCUCGGUAUUAAAACGUUUAAAUUUUAGUUUAUGGCAUGUAUAGGCUAAAUAAAAUUUUGGGAGUCGUACUUUAAUGUACUGUAUAUAUAUAAUUAAUAGCCAUAUGAAACUAGCUUAUUUUUCUUACGGUUUAACUGAACUGAAAUGUUAUGUUUUGUUAUAAAAUGUUAAAGUAAAAUUUAUAAUUA